GGGAAGUAGCUUGCUACUUUGCCGGCGAGCGGCGGACGGGUGAGUAAUGUCUGGGAAACUGCCUGAUGGAGGGGGAUAACUACUGGAAACGGUAGCUAAUACCGCAUGACCUCGCAAGAGCAAAGUGGGGGACCUUCGGGCCUCACGCCAUCGGAUGUGCCCAGAUGGGAUUAGCUAGUAGGUGGGGUAAUGGCUCACCUAGGCGACGAUCCCUAGCUGGUCUGAGAGGAUGACCAGCCACACUGGAACUGAGACACGGUCCAGACUCCUACGGGAGGCAGCAGUGGGGAAUAUUGCACAAUGGGCGCAAGCCUGAUGCAGCCAUGCCGCGUGUGUGAAGAAGGCCUUAGGGUUGUAAAGCACUUUCAGCGAGGAGGAAGGGUUCAGUGUUAAUAGCACUGUNCAUUGACGUUACUCGCAGAAGAAGCACCGGCUAACUCCGUGCCAGCAGCCGCGGUAAUACGGAGGGUGCAAGCGUUAAUCGGAAUUACUGGGCGUAAAGCGCACGCAGGCGGUUUGUUAAGUCAGAUGUGAAAUCCCCGAGCU
rnacentral:rRNA from 1 species